rnacentral:rRNA from 1 species
GACGAACGCUGGCGGCGUGCUUAACACAUGCAAGUCGAACGGAAAGGCCCUGUCUUCGUGGGGUGCUCGAGUGGCGAACGGGUGAGUAACACGUGAGUAACCUGCCCUGGACGUUGGGAUAACUUCAGGAAACUGGGGCUAAUACCGGAUAGGAGCGCCUGCUGCAUGGUGGGGGUUGGAAAGUUUCGGCGGUUGGGGAUGGACUCGGGGCGUCUCAGCUUGUUGGUGGGGUAGUGGCUUACCAAGGCUUUGACGGGUAGCCGGCCUGAGAGGGUGACCGGCCCCAUUGGGAUAGGGAUACGGCCAAGAGUCCUACGGGAGGCAGGAGUGGGGAAUAUUGCACAAUGGGCGGAAGCCUGAUGCAGCAACGCCGCGUGCGGGAUGACGGCCGUCGGGUUGUAAACCGCUUUAGCCUGUGACGAAGCGUGAGUGACGGUAAUGUGUAAAGAAGCACCGGCUAACUACGUG